GACGAACGCUGGCGGCGUGCCUAAUACAUGCAAGUAGAACGCUGAAGAGAGGAGCUUGCUCUUCUUGGAUGAGUUGCGCACGGGUGAGUAACGCGUAGGUAACCUGCCUGGUAGCGGGGGAUAACUAUUGGAAACGAUAGCUAAUACCGCAUAAAAUGGAUUAUCGCAUGAUAAUCCAUUGAAAGGUGCAAAUGCAUCACUACCAGAUGGACCUGCGUUGUAUUAGCUAGUUGGUGGGGUAACGGCUCACCAAGGCGACGAUACAUAGCCGACCUGGGAGGGUGAUCGGCCACACUGGGACUGAGACACGGCCCAGACUCCUACGGGAGGCAGCAGUAGGGAAUCUUCGGCAAUGGACGGAAGGCUGACCGAGCAACGCCGCGUGAGUGAAGAAGGUUUUCGGAUCGUAAAGCUCUGUUGUAAGAGAAGAACGAGUGUGAGAGUGGAAAGUUCACACUGUGACGGUAUCUUACCAGAAAGGGACGGCUAACUACGUG
rnacentral:rRNA from 1 species